rnacentral:rRNA from 1 species
GGGUCAGUAGGUUGGUCGUGCCACCGGUACGUACUGGUCUCACUGAUUCCUCCUUCCUGAGGAACCGUAAUGCCAUUAAUUUGGUGUUGCGGGGAAACAGGACUGUUACUUUGAAAAAAUUAGAGUGUUUAAAGCAAGCUAACGCUCGAAUACAUUAGCAUGGAAUAAUGAAAUAGGACGAUCGAUCCUAUUUUGUUGGUUUCUAGGAUUGACGUA